rnacentral:rRNA from 1 species
GGAUGCGAUCAUACCAGCACUAAAGCACCGGAUCCCAUCAGAACUCCGAAGUUAAGCGUGCUUGGGUGAGAGUAGUACUAGGAUGGGUGACCUCCUGGGAAGUCCUUGUGUUGCAUUCC